GAAGAUGUCAGCUGGGAUUAAUCUUCCGCCAGACAGUGAGGUGGUACCAUCAUCUCUUUCUGAUGUUUCAUCUCUUAAGGAGACAACACGUCUCGACCCUUUAGCACUUGGAAGUGGUGUUCGUCAGUUUAGGCUUUCCCUUACGAGCUGGAUCGAUCAGAGUGAUUAGGAAGAUGGAUUCUCAGAAGAUGACUUCACAUAUUUUAUUACAUCCUAUCUACACUAUUACAAUACUAACAUCAAGGCUCUCUCUCCCAUUAAUGACAACAAAUCUUCUACAAGUAUCAGUGAUAGCGCUUCUACAAGUAUUAUUGUUAGCACGGACAGGUAUCAUCAACUUACAAAGGCAUGCCGAACUGCCCUUAUUCUCUUUAAAGUCCUCGACCUUUUAUGGAAACAGACACAUUCAUUUGAUCAGAUUUUGUUAAUCCACCGUAACGUGAAACGACUUGCCAGAAUUUACAAGCCUUACAACAUAUUCCCAUGCAGUGAUGAUCAUCCUAUAAGCAGAAUUCCUGAGAUACAAGCUGUUGCAAGUGCACUUCGUAACACAACGGGCUUAGAAUGGCUUGGAAGUUACAAGAACAAUGACGAUGAAGACAUUCUAAACAAGCUUCAAGCGAUGUUCGGCUUUCAGAAAGAUAACGUUCAAAUCAAAGAGAGCACUUGAAGGGGUUACUUGGAAAUUUCCAACUUCGAAAGUUUCAGAAUAAAGAACCAC